AGAUAGAGUUUGAUCCUGGCUCAGGAUGAACGCUAGCGGCAGGCUUAACACAUGCAAGUCGAGGGGCAGCGAGUAGAUUGCUUGCAAUUUAUGUCGGCGACCGGCGCACGGGUGCGUAACGCGUAUGCAACCUACCCAUUACAGGGGGAUAACACUGAGAAAUCGGUACUAAUACCCCAUAACAUCCAGGGAGGCAUCUUCUUGGGUUGAAAACUCCGGUGGUAAUGGAUGGGCAUGCGUUGUAUUAGUUAGUUGGUGGGGUAACGGCUCACCAAGACAACGAUACAUAGGGGGACUGAGAGGUUAACCCCCCACAUUGGUACUGAGACACGGACCAAACUCCUACGGGAGGCAGCA
rnacentral:rRNA from 1 species